GACGAACGCUGGCGGCGUGCUUAACACAUGCAAGUCGAACGGUGAACCUCUUCGGAGGGGAUCAGUGGCGAACGGGUGAGUAACACGUGGGCAACCUGCCCCCGGCUCUGGGAUAACUCCAAGAAAUUGGGGCUAAUACCGGAUGUUCACCGCUUCCCGCAUGGGUGGUGGUGGAAAGGGUUUCCGGCUGGGGAUGGGCCCGCGGCCUAUCAGCUUGUUGGUGGGGUAGUGGCCUACCAAGGCGACGACGGGUAGCCGGCCUGAGAGGGUGACCGGCCACAGGGGGCCGGAGACCGGCCCCAGCCCCCGAGGGGGGGGAGGGGGGGGGAAUGUGGCGGAGGGGGGGGAGGCCGGACGCGGCGGCGCCGGGGGGGGGAGGGCGCCCUUGGGUUUGAAACCCUCUUCCAGCGGGGAAGAGGCGAAGGGGACGGUCCCUGAAGAAGAAGCCCGGGCCAACUACGUC
rnacentral:rRNA from 1 species